UGGGACCCAAAUUUGUACAGAGACAAGGUAGCGUGGAGAGAAAACAACACCCAGCAACCCAGAAGUCUUCAACCACCACUUCUUAUGCCUGGGUUUUAGUUCUUCAGCUGUGUCAUGUGGGAAAAUGUCACUUUCCUUCUGGGGAUUAUAGAAUUCAUGUCUCUUUGACUAGUUGUAGCUGGAAGCAUAUGCAAAUGUUUCCAUUGUGAUGGAAGCAACAAGCUGAUGUCAGUCGAUCUGACAAAAUUAAAAUCUGUUUAAUUUUGUCCUGGCAUCUUUAUCCCCAAAUCUGAAUCUACCAUCAGAUCCCACAGUUGUAAAGGUGCCACAAAUAUGAUGGAAUGUGUUUCCAUUUACUGAAUAGAUGUCCUGAAAUGUGAGCAAAAUGUUCAAAAUGUAGCCACAGGUUUCAGUGAGGCCUCUAACUUACACUUCUUAUAUCUGCACAAGAAGAGCAUGCCCCAGGAAACAGCAGUUGCUUCAGCUUGGGUGCUGAGUGAAGAGUCCUGUGAAGCCAACUGGAAGUCUCUCCACAGCCUGGAGCAGAACUGCAGCUCACCCAUCUGCCCUCAUGCACGUGACCAAGAGAUAACCUGGCGAUUAAAUAGGAUCCACCGAAUGUGGCAUUUGACUUGCCAUUUCUUACGAAGAAAUUGGCUGUGACAUGGGGGCAGUUUGUGUUUCUGGAGGAACUAGUCUCUGACUGAAGCAUUAAGAGGACCUGGACAAAGCCUGAGGCAGAAAGCCUCUUGGUAAGCUAAAGCACAUGUGUAU
ensembl:lncRNA